CGUCUAUAUACGUAUAGCAUAUCAAUAAGCGGAGGAAAAGAAACUAACUAGGAUUCCCUCAGUAACGGCGAGUGAAGCGGGAAGAGCUCAAAUUUGAAAUCUUCAAGGUUUUACCUUGACGAAUUGUAGUUUAAAGAAGUGUUUUCUGUUGGAGUUUUGGUAAAAGUUCUUUGGAAAAGGACAUCAUAGAGGGUGAGAAUCCCGUAUUUGACCAGUUACUUUCCAGCUGUUGUGAUACACUUUCAAAGAGUCGGAUUGUUUGGGAAUGCAGUCCAAAAUGGGUGGUAAAUUUCAUCUAAAGCUAAAUAUUGGCGAGAGACCGAUAGCGAACAAGUACCGUGAGGGAAAGAUGAAAAGAACUUUGAAAAGAGAGUUAAACAGUACGUGAAAUUGUCAAAAGGGAAGCGUUUGACACCAGUGUUGUUUUCCUCGAAAAUCAAUUAAAAAUGGCUUGAUUUUGUGUUGUAUUGACCUUAAAAGCUUUCUUCACUUUUUUCAUGUCUUUUUUAAUGCACUUUUCGUUUAACAAGUCAACAUCAGUUUCUUUUGUUGUAAAAAGGUCAUUGGAAGGUGGCUUUCUUUUCGGAGAAAGUGUUUAUAGCCUUUGACUCCUGCAAUCGGAGAGACUGAGGUCUGCAGCGUAGAUCCUUCUGGAUUAGAUUCAUUUGUGCUAAGUUACAACCGUUUAUAGACAACUUGUUGACUAUAUUCGAUCCUGUAGCUUACUCGCUUAUGUAAUUUUACCUACGCUUAGGAUGUUGAAGUCAUCGUAUCGCGC
rnacentral:rRNA from 1 species